ACCAUUAGCACUCCCUCUCGGGGACUGACCCCUGAUCACCACGUGGUGCCCUCUUAUUCCUGACAGGGGUCCUCGCCGGGACGCUGUUCUGAGAUCAGUCAUGACUCCGGCGUUCUCCAUUGGUGUUGGUGUGGUAUAUCAUUCUCCAACCCUUUUCAAAAAUCUAUGUGUGUGUUUACAUUUAGAGGGAGUUUCUUGUGGAUGGCAUAGAGUUGGAUCUUGCAGUUUCAUCCACUCUGACAAUCUCUUUUUUGCUUUUUUUUUUUGAGAUAGAGUCUUGCUCUCGUUGCACAGGCUGAAGUGCAAUGGCGCAAUCUCGGCUCUCUGCAACCUCCACCUCCCAGGCUUCAGCGAUUCUCCUGCCUCAGCCUCCUGAGUAGCUGGGGCUACAGGCGCACACCACCACACCUGGCUAAUUGUUGUAUUUUUAGUAGAGACGGGGUUUCACCGUGUUGGCCAGGAAGGUCUCCAACUCCUGACCUCAUGAUCCGCCCACCUCAGCCUCCCAAAGCCCUGGAUUCCAGGCGUGAGCCCCCGCACCUUACCCGGUCUCUCUUGGAAUGGGUGCCUGACAGCCCCUGCCUUCCAGCGAGCGUCGAUGCAGCUGGAUUCCGGUCGGCCGCAGUGUUCCUGGUGUUGCUGCUCCGUCUCUGUCUCUGCUGAUUUUUGUCUUCCCCUCUUUUCUGCCUCCUCUGCUUUCGAUUGUGCAUUUUGUAUGAUUUCAUUUUCUCUCCCCUCAGCAGAUCAGUUACGCUUCUUGUUUCUUUCUGCUUUUCUUAUUGGUUGUCGUCGACUUUGCAAUAUGCAUUUGCAGUGAACACAGGCUCGCGUUCCGUCGCGUGGUGUCACGUCACAGGCAGUGCGCUUCCUCCCGGCACAGCGUUCCUGUCCUUACAACUUUGCUGUCGUUCGUUUUGCUUAUCCAUAAGCGAUAAUCGCCAAAUACAUGGCUGCUAUUAUCCACUUCUCCAUGUAUCCACUAUUUCUCCUCCACUGUAGGAAGAUAAUUUAAUUGGGUACAGAAUUAUAGGUUGUUGGUUUUAUCCUUUCAACACUUUAAAUGGAUACAGACGGUUUACGGCUUGGGUUAGUUGUGAAUGUGUAGCAUCGGUGGCUCAGAAAUGUCACCCCAGAAAGUGCUUCCCCUGGUGGGAGCAGGAUGGGAAGUGGGGUGACAGGGAGGGGGGUCCAAAGACCCCACAGCAGAAGGUUCCUGGAGUGUGAGACCUGGUGCCCGGGCAGAGACUGUCCCAGGAUGGUGCCGUCAGCCCAGGGUCAGGGUGGCCAUUUGGGGGUUGGUGGCAGCUUUGUGUUCCUGUCUGCAGACACUGUCAGAGAUGGAUGGGGACAAUCCUGCAGGGAGGUGCUGAGGUGGAGCUGUGACAGCUGGCCCCACACCCGGUGGGUGUCAUCAGAAGCUGCUGUGAUAAAUGGGGAGGUAAAGUGUUCUGAGAACCGGGCAGUGGCUGAGACCAUGAGAUUUAUGUUCCUGUGGUCUUGGUGGCCUCCCACGUCCCUGAGGGCUCUGGGGGGAGCCUGGCCAGAUUCAUCAGCUUUCUGUGCUGCGUCUUCCAAAAAAAGCCAGGGCCACUGAGUCCAGGCCACCAACCACAGCUGCGGACCCAGCCCAACCUCUUGACCGAGGUGCUCUCAGGGCACAGGGAGACUCAGGAGCUGUGGUGGCUGCUGGGGCUUCGGCUCUCAGUUCACAAACGCACGCAGUGUACGUCGCUAUGUGUGGCAGGGGGGCCUGGGUGGAAGGGGCCAGUGAGGAGACGUCCAUCCUCCAGGCAUUGUGCCCCCUCCCAAAGGCCAGUGGCCCCGAGCAGGGGAGCCGAAGAUGGGAAGGAAAGCUGGAAGCGAGGGGCCCCAACUUGAGUAGGGUCUGGGCAGCACCUGAGGGUUUCUGUGAGGUGCACUCGCUGGGCGGGAGAGCGGCACCCCCAGGCCCUGGGAAGCUGGAGGUGCCCUGACUGCCCAGAAGGUGCGCUGUGUCUGCAGGGGCCUGGCUCUUGGUUACGGCCCCUGGGCAUGGGAUCAGCUUCCUGUCAGGCUGAGGCGAGAGGGGGCAAAGUGCCCACAAGGCCAGUGUCUGUGACCCUGUGUCCCUCACCCAAUGGACCUCCCACCAGAACCUUCCUCCAGUGGCACCGGUGACUGGGGCAGCUUUGAUGUGGCUGGGGGUGGUUUGGAGCAAUGUCAGUUGUUUGCCUUCUGCCAUCUGGUUUGAGACACUUGACUGGGUCCCCACAGGUGUCCUGAGCUCCACAGCACGUGGGUCCAAUACAGACGUGGCAGGGGCUCCAAGAGCUUUGUCUGUCAGGAGUGGCCUGGGGGGCAGCUGUGGGGAGAAGGCCAGGACUGGGCACAGUAGAGGCCGCACCUGCCCAGUGGGGGAUCCGGAGCUGGGGCAGCUCCUCAGAGAUCGUCCAAGGCCAGAGCUCGCGCCCUAAAUAGCUGUGACUGGGUGCAGGGCACCUGGGUUACGGGCAGGUCCUCCAGCCGAGGUCCCAUCCAGGGCCUGUAGGAUUUGCAGAGGCCAGACUUGGGAACUGACUGGGGGAAGACCAGGCCCCUCUGCACCCUCGGACUUGAAGUGGUGGCCGGCCCCUGCUCUCUACCCAGGGCUGGAUGCGCUUUUGAUUCUGUCUCUCUGUGUCACUGUCUCUGUCUUUAUCUCACUGUCUCUUUAGGUUUCUGUGUCUCCCACUGUCUCCCUCACUCAGCUGGGUGGGAAAGGGGCAUUCUGGAAGCUUCCAUGUGAUCUUCCCUACAGGUCAGGAUGAGUGGGCUAUUCCAGUGACAUAUGGGGAGCUGGGAAUAGGCCCCUGCGAGUCCCGUGAGCUCUGUCUGGAGGGUCCCCAUUCAUUUCCAGUCCCUGCUCUGCUCUAUGGGGAUGUGGGGAGGGGGCGGUGUCUGCUCUGUCCCCGGCCCACAGCCCUGACCGUUUGGACAGACCCUCCCUCCCCAGCACCCCUCGGGAGGGCUGGGGGACCCUCUGUGUUUUUCGGGUUCUUUCUUCCCCUCUCCUGUCUGGGUUCUGUGUCUGGAACCUGGCCCCGUGAGGAGGCGGGCACUGGAAGCUGGUGUUGCUGGUGGCGCUGGGUGGCGGCUGCCUGUGGGCCUGGCCUUCAUCUUGACCGCCUUAGUGGUGUGGAUGGAGCUGCUGCCCUCUCCUGCCCCCAAGGCUUGGGCACUACCGGCCUUCACUCCCGCCUCUGUGGGGCAGACCCCUGCAGUUCAGCCCCACAAGGGCCCUGCUUUCCUUCUGAGAGUCAGGGCCCCCUUCUGCCAUCGGAGGCCCGGCUCUGUGAUGGCGCCUGGCCGCCAGCCCUGCCCACACCGCCCGGCCACUGCAGCUUCCAGGGAGGCUGCUGCCCGACCUUCACGGGGCUAGUGCAGGGUCUCCUGGGCCCUGGGAGCAGGGUCAGCCAGCAGUGACCAGGCUUACACCACACCCCCAGCACGGCCACUUCCUAGGGCCUUUGGUCCCGGUGUGGGCUGAGCUGGGCUCUGGCUCUCUGGGUAGCCUCCUCAGCAGCUCCUGUGUCGUCGGCACGGCUUCUGCACUGCACCUGCUCCCCUGACGGCUCUCAGUCCUGCGGUACCCAUGGAUGUCUCUUCCCUUUCUCGGCAGGUGCCUUCUGGAAGAUUCCAUGUGGCACACUUCCAGAGACAGGCAUAUUCAGGAGGCAGGUGGGGGCAGGCUCCAGGGCAGGGAGGCAUUACUGAAAGGUGGGGCCGUGUGUGGGUUCUAAGUAGGUGCAUCAGCCCAGAAGGCUGAGCUGGGCCUCCACCGCCUUCCCUACCCUGAAGAAGGCUCAGAGCCAGGCCUCCAUCACCUUCUGUUCCCUGAAGAGGCUGAGCUGGGCCUCCACCACCUUCUGUUCCCUAAAGAAGGCUGAGCUGGGCCUCCACCACCUUCCCUACCCUGACGAAGGCCGAACCGGGCCUCCACCGCCUUCCAUUCCCUGAGGCCUGGGUCCCCAUCCUUCCUUGCCUGGGCCUGGUUGUGCCUGGUGGUUUCCACCCUGUAGCUCUGCCUUGCCGGCCGUGGCCUGAGGCUGGGGCUCAGCUGCACUGCUGUCUGUGCAGGAGAUGAUGGGUAGUGUGCCACAGCGAGCGUGCCCAUUCUUCCAGCAUCUCGGGGUGGACCUGAGCCUGGUGGAGGUGGCUGUCUUCAGCUGAGGGCAUUUCCUGAGGAUCUGGCUGCCAAUGAGCCCCACCACUCCUGGCAGCCCUGCGUCUGAGGAACCUGGUGUCCACCGUGGCUGAGCGGUGUGGUCGGCUGGCCGUGGUGGGGCUCUCAGUGAGCCAGAGGCUUAUUGCCUCAGAGAAAUGCCUGGAGUUCACCUUCCUUCUCCUUUUUGAUUAAUAUUUAUAAUUUGAAUCAUGGAUCAAAAAUACAGAUCAUUUUCACAGACAAGAACACGCCGGUGAGGAGACCUCUGUGGCCGGCUGCAGUGGAUACACACAGAUGGCAGCUCCCCCAGAAUCCCCUGAAUCCCCCUAAUGGCCCAGAGCCCCGACCUGGCUCUUUGCUUCCUGAUUCUCCCCGAAAGGCUGCCACAAUUCCUGUGUUCCCAGUUCCGCAGCCCUCGCCAUUUACCAAAUGGGAGUUAAGAUGCAAUUAUUUAUUUAUGAAUGAAAUUAGA